CUGUUGAUGGGAAUAGGGGACAGUAAGGUGCGGUCUUCUUGGCCUGUGUAAGUACACAAAUUUUCUUCUGUAAAUGCAUAAGAAGAUGGUUGGAGCUCUUUCUUCAUUUCUGUUCACAUACAUCACACACCUUACA